rnacentral:rRNA from 1 species
AGAGCGAACGCUGGCGGCAGGCCUAACACAUGCAAGUCGAGCGCCCGUAGCAAUACGGGAGCGGCAGACGGGAGAGUAACACGUGGGAACGCGCCCUUCGGUUCGGAAUAACUCAGGGAAACUUGAGCUAAUACCGGAUACGCCCUUACGGGGAAAGAUUUAUUGCCGAAGGAACGGCCCGCGUCCGAUUAGCUAGUUGGUGAGGUAAUGGCUCACCAAGGCGACGAUCGGUAGCUGGUCUGAGAGGAUGACCAGCCUCACUGGGACUGAGACACGGCCCAGACUCCUACGGGAGGCAGCAGUGGGGAAUAUUGGACAAUGGGCGCAAGCCUGAUCCAGCCAUGCCGCGUGAGUGAUGAAGGCCUUAGGGUUGUAAAGCUCUUUUAGCAGGGAAGAUAAUGACGGUACUGCAGAAAAGCCCGGCUAACUUCGUGCCAGCAGCCGC